CGCGUAGUGCGCCCGUACUCCUCAGCCCUUGGGCGGUCGAUGGGACUGGGCGCGGUGGAGCAGGGGGCGGCGCUCGUUGGGGAGGCUCCCGCCGCGCAGGAGCCCAGGUGGGGGGAGGCGCAGGCAUGGGUGGCUGCAGGUCCCGAGCCCUGCCCCGCGGAGAGGCAGAGAUUGUUUUGCCAGAUUUUUAGAAAAGAGAGAUGAACACCUUUUAAACUCUGAGGAAAGAAAUGGGCUCAUUGGUAUGGAGCAGAACAGAAUACUAGGGUAAUGAAGAUUGUAUGGUGUUGGCAUCAGUGGACCAAUGGAUCAAUGGAACAAAAUGAAGAGUUCAGAAAUAAAUCUACACAUCUACAGUCAACUGAUUUUCAAAAAAUGGCUGCCAAGGUAAGUCAGUGGGAAAGGAUUAGUCCUUUAAAUUUCACAAGAAAAAUUGGAUAUCUAUAUGAAAAAGCUGAACAUUGACCCUUACCUCAUGUUGUAUGUAAAAAUUAACUUGAAAUGUAUUAUUGAGCUAAAC
rnacentral:lncRNA from 1 species